AGCGGAGGAAAAGAAACCAACAGGGAUUGCCUCAGUAACGGCGAGUGAAGCGGCAACAGCUCAAAUUUUAAAGCUGGCGUCUUUGACGUCCGCAUUGUAAUUUGGAGAGGCAUCUUCGGAUUGGGCGCUAGCCUAUGUUCCUUGGAACAGGACGUCACAGAGGGUGAGAAUCCCGUGCUUGGCUGGCUGUCCCUUUUCAUGUGAAGUGUCUUCGACGAGUCGAGUUGUUUGGGAAUGCAGCUCAAAAUGGGUGGUAAAUUUCAUCUAAAGCUAAAUAUUGGUGGGAGACCGAUAGCGCACAAGUAGAGUGAUCGAAAGAUGAAAAGCACUUUGAAAAUAGAGUUAAAAAGUACGUGAAAUUGUUGAAAGGGAAGCGCUUGAGACCAGACUCGGCUGGUGAUGAUCAGCUGUUCUUUUGGGCAGUGCACUUGUCGCCGGUUGGGCCAGCAUCGGUUGAGACGGCGGGAUAAAGGUUCUGGGAAUGUGGCUCCUCUCGGGGAGUGUUAUAGCCCAGAAUGCAAUGCCGCCAGCCUCGACCGAGGACCGCGCUUCGGCUAGGAUGCUUGGCAUAAUGGUCUUCAGCGACCCGUCU
rnacentral:rRNA from 1 species